CUGAAGGAUUUUGAGCUGGGGAGUAAUAUCAGAUCUAGGUACUUUAUCCUUUUUUUUAACUUUAUAUUUUAGAAACAAACUUUAGAUUACUUAGAGAUUGCUUUAUGCUUUAGAAACAAACAUCAGCCCUAUUACACAGACACAAUUUUCAAGUCUGUGAUUUGUAUAAGAGAAGGACUAAAACCAAAAUAUCCAUCCAUCAGAAAAUAUUUAUUAAGCACCUACUAUGUGCCAGGCAUUGUGUGCUAGGUCCUGAGGGUACAAAGACAAAAGUGAGAUAGUCCCUGAUCUCAAGGAGCUUACAUUCUAGGGGGAUGCAACGUGUUCACAGAUAACUGAAACCUAGGUAAGAACAACUAAACCAAAUGCAUAUAAAAAGUAUAUGUGUUGAUAGAUAAAUGCAUAUGACAUAAGAUGUCAAAUUCAUACAGUUUUCUGAUGAUACUCAGGACAAGUCAUUGGUAUUAAAGUAAAAAAAAUUGUUUGCCAUAUAUUUUAAGAAAUUGUGCAAAUAGCUUAAAAAUAAGCCAAGUUCUUCUUAUUGGGAGAAUUGCUAUAAUGAUUCAUGUGUGCACAUCACAACGUUGUGCUCCAUAGAUCUUGGACACAAGAGCUUUGGGGAGACUGGCCAGGAUUCCGCUGUACUCUGGUCUUUCGAAUUUGUGGAGUAACUGGAUGCCCCAGAGUCACUUUCAAAUUUAUGAAGAAACAGAGGGCAUUACUGGGGCAUGUUUCUUGAUCACUGCCACAACUCCAUUAAUAGCAAGCACACUCUUUCUGAUUUGUAUUUCCAUGUGACUUAAAACGUUUACAGUCCUCUAGAAUUGAGUUCACAUUCUUAUCAUCAGGAAGAGAAAACAGCUGCUUUGUCUGGCAAUCAAAUAGCAGGCAUCAAGAAGCCCUAGUUUCAGAACUUCAGGAAUAGUUGCUUCAACCUCAACUCUGUCCUUUCAACUAGUCAGGUUCUUUCAGACCCAUCUACUGUAAGCUGGAUGAGCACUCACUGGUGCUUCUGCCUUCUACUGCAAUUAUGUUCGUUUGAUAUGGGGUUAAUCAGCAGGCACUGAUCAACAUAGUGGGAUUAUAAGGAUAUGGCCAUUUGGGAGGCCUUUUAUUAUGUGGGAAGGACUCUGAUUGUACUUCCUUGAUAGAUGAAACAUCCCCAUAAAGUAAGUAUCAAUUAUCAGAGGUGAUUUCAUUAAAUCAGACUACUAUAGAUCUAAGACUUAUUCUUUGACCUGGAAAGGGAGACAAGCCAAGAUGUGGAGAUCCAAAGAUCCAGAGAUGGAUAACAGAGUGAAGACCAAAGACCUGAGAAAGGACCUGGGACCCAAGAGUAAAAUCUAUCCUUCUACAUAUAGAUUCUUCAGGGAACUCAGCCUUCCCAAAGCAGUCCCAGAGAUAUGGCAGACUUGGAGAAAUAGUAGCAGGGCCUUUAUGCCCAAGGUCUAGCAAUAGAUGGGGGUCCAGGUGGGAGGGAGGAGUGGCAAUAGUUCUGGGACUCCAGGUUCUUGGAAAGGCAGUGAUGCAACUUCUCAACCUCAGAGAUGGUAGCCAUGGAGAGAAAAGCCACUAUGGGAGUUCUCCUAGAGGUGUACCAGGAUCAAGGGUGUGACCCUUCAAUUGGAUCGGUAGCAAUAGACUGAGCCACCAUACAGAGAAAUAAAACUUGGACUUUGUCAAAUUGACUAGUCAGUCAAUGAAUUCCUGUGGGAAGAGGGAUGCCUCCUGACCUUGUUUCCCCCUUUUGGUGGGAAAACAAGCCCUUAAAGUAUUACUCUAAGAUAGGAGACCUGUGUGGAUUCCUGGGAUAGAAAGGGGUACUCCCUAGACUGUAGGGAUUGAUUCUCUAAUAACCCCAAUUUCACAUUCUUUUUUUUUCUAGGGGUAGAAUAUAAACCCUUAGGAUAGUACUAUAAUGCUGCAGGGUUGUAUAGGUCCCUGGGGAAAAGGUGAAACUCACAGAAGAGGGGAAAGAGAAAUGUAUUGACUAUGUACAGCCUACUUGUGAGUCCUUUAUAUUGUUUUAAAUUUUCUAUGGAUUAAAAAAAGGGCUGUGCUACUUCUGAUAUGCAUUGUUACCUUGAAUGUUUACAUAGGAGCUGAGACCUUACCUUUCUCUCUGUAGAGAUCUAGAUAUGAGGUUCCCAGAAGCAAAAACAACAACAAAAAAUGUAAAGGUAUAUAACUUUCAGAAAGUGGACCCUCUAACAAAUGAAUAUAGUCCAUGUAAAACCAAAGCUUAGGAUUUUGGCUAAUGGUUUACAGGGACUUUUUUCCACAUUGAUACUGCAGAGGCCUCCAAACAGUAAGGGAUUCAUUCUUUAAAAAAAAAGAAAGAAAGAAAAAAGAAAAAUCACUUCCUUAUUUUUCAAUAUUGCAAACCGAAAGUCUUCUCUCCUACAACUUUAUUAUCUUCUCUUCUUCACAUUCCUAUUGAUGGUCUUUCUGAAGAUUUCUCCAGCCUAAUGUCCUGGUAUUUGAGGAUUCUGCUUUCUGGAACCCAUUUAUCUCAAUUUUUAUUCCAACUCCUGUGAGAUAAGAAGGAGUUUCUUUUUUUCCCCCACCUUUAUGGUGACAUAGGCACACACAUCUUCACAAAAGAGAGGUAUACAAAACCACAAGCCCCAGUUCACUCUCUGAUAAUUCAGCCUUGUGGGUCCUGUUUCGCCUUCUUCUCACCUUCCCUACUGCUAUGGGAGCCCCUGUUCCAUCUCAGUGGCAGUCUCAUAUCCUGGGUCUAUUUUUCUAGACAUCCCCAUCCCAAUCAACCUCAUUCAUUACAUUCUAAAACUGCUCUGCUCACCAAAUCUCUAAAUUUAGAAACUUCUUUCUCCACUUUCUAUGUUGGGAUCUGCCCUGAUUCAUUCUCCAAUUAUAAUUUUUUUUGCUUCUAUCCCUGAAUUUCCUUGGCUGGCACUGCUUUUUCCCUUUCUUACUUUGCCUAUCACACUCUUCAGAACCCAAGUGGAGGGUUUUUCAGGGCUUAUUUACACUAGGAGAGAGUAUAUUCAUAUUCAUGAAGAAGAAGGGAAAAUAAUUAAAGACUAGGUUAGAAAGCCUACGUAUGGUACCAUUUAGUCUGAUACUGCACCAUUUUCUUGAGAAAUUUCCUUAGGACAUUGUGUCUUCCUAGAAUGGAAGUUCACAGAGGGCAGUGAAUGUUUUCCUUUUUUCCUUUGUCUUUGUGUUCCUAACACUUAGUGCAAUACCUUGUACACAAUAGGUAUUUAAUAAAUGUUUGUCAAAUUGAAUUGCUUUAAAAAAAAAGCCAAUCCUCUCUAGACCAAGAGUAUGCAGCUCUUUUGUGGACACAACCCCAUUCAGAUUUGGGAGCAGCAGACCUACGAGUCCACUCUAUAUAUCCUUGGCUUUCUUAAGUUUGACCUUGGGAAGCCCUCCUUCCAUCUUUACCUCUAGUCUUCUCAGUCAGCUGAGCACAGGAUUUUGUGCCAUAUACAAAUUCUUCUCUUUUUAUUAUCAUAUUCUUAAUUCUGUGAUUUUUAAGCAUGGGUAUAAUUACUAGAAAACUUAGGAAGGGUGUAACUUUCAGAGCAGAGUUCAAUGACUGUAGAAAGACUGCAGGAGCUGUGGGGAAGCCAAGUAUUUCAAGGAACGUUAAAGACCACAGUGAAAUGGGAUCAGACUGGGACCCAAAUGUAAAAGGAAGUGGGCUCAAAAAUGAAAAAUGGCAGAAAGAAUUGACAAGCUGUUUCUGCAAACAGCCUAAUUAAUUCUCUACCUCACACCAAAAAGCCUAAAGACCCAUAGAGUAACCUGGCAACUGAAGGGCUUGUUGUGGAGUCUUGAAGCCACAAAAACACAACCUUGUACCAUGUUAAAUGGCAUGAAGGUGAAGAAAUUUGCCCAACUAAUAGAAGGAAGUAAACAAGCAUUUAUUAAGCUUCUACUAUGUGCCAGGUGCUACAUAUAUAACUUCAUUUGACCCUCGCCACAACCCUGAGAAGCAGAUACUAUUUUUUUUAAUAUAUUUUAUUUGAUCAUUUCCAAGCAUUAUUCGUUAAAGACAUAGAUCAUUUUCUUUUCCUCCCCCCCACCCCCCCAUAGCCGACGCGUAAGUCCACUGGGCAUUACAUGUUUUCUUGAUUUGAACCCAUUGCUAUGUUGAUAAUAUUUGCAUUAGAGUGUUCAUUUAGAGUCUCUCCUCUGUCAUGUCCCCUCAACCGCUGUAUUCUGGCAGUUGCUUUUCCUCGGUGUUUCCACUCCCAUAGUUUAUCCUUUGCUUAUGAAUAGUGUUUUUUUCUCCUGGAUCCCUGCAAAUUGUUCAGGGACAUUACACCGCCACUAAUGGAGAAGUCCAUUACGUUCGAUGAUACCACAGUGUAUUAGUCUCUGUGUACAAUGUUCUCCUGGUUCUGCUCCUCUCGCUCUGCAUCACUUCCUGGAGGUUGUUCCAGUCUCCAUGGAACUCCUCCACUAAGCAGAUACUAUUUUAUUCCCAUUUUACAGUUGAGGAAAUUAACUUUUUUGGCUAAAAAGGACUGCUUAGGUGAUUUGCCCGGAUCCCAGAGCUUAGUAAGUGUCUAAGUUUAGAUCUGAACUCAGAUCUUCCUGAUUCUAGGUGCAAUGCUCUCUAGCUACUGUGUCAUCUAACUUGACAUGCUUUAAUGGCCCAGGAACUUGUCUAGUUUAAGCCCCAUUGAAAACCUAUGGGCCCUAAUCAAGGCUAGACUGAGAAAAAUGGAUUGUCAUCAAAGGCAUCCUCAGUGAUAUAACAGCAUGACAACUCUUUUAGCCUCAAUGCCAAAUCAUGACAAACAAGUGAUGGCAGCGAAAGGGGACAUUGCAGAUUAAAAGCUUUUUAAAGAUAUAAAAAAGUUGUAGGGUUUGUAUAUACCAAAGAAUCUGAUUAUUUUGCUUUGUCCCAAUUUGCAUUCCAUCACACACAAAUAUAAGCAUUUAUUAAGUUCCUACUUUGUGUCAGGCACCAUGCUAAGCAUUAUCUCGUUUGAGCCUCAUAACAUUAUUAUGCCCAUUUUGGAGAUGAGCAAACUGACACUAAAGUGACUAACUCAUAAGCACGCAGUAAACAGAGUCUGUGCAUUUGCACAGUGCCCUACCCCUGUGACCCAGUUCCACCUACUUUGGGGAAGAGGCAAUGGUAGUUACCCAAGUUUAUCCACAGCUUUCUGAGAACAGGUCUGAAACUCGAGUUCCUAGCAAGAAAGGAGAGUCGUCAGGACCCUAAUGGAAUGUCCAGAGGAGCCCAUGACUGACGUAGCCCUGUGCUUGUUCAUGUGUCCCUUGAGAGAAGUUCCCAGGCAUGGAGGGAGGAAUCUCGGCACCCGGACAAUCCUGGACAAUCCAGGAGUCGAGGUUCCUUCCCGGAGAAGAGAAUCUGGCCAGUGCCAGCUUGGGAUGAUGUGAUGAAUAAUGCCAAGUUUGGGAGUUCGUGCAUCACACGGACCCUCCAAAGAGAAGUGAUUGGUUGCCCACACAGUUUGGGAACAGCAUCCUGCAGAGAACACCCCCCCCCCGACCUCCCCAUCUAAAGGACCAGGGUCACAUCACAGGGAAGGAGCAAGAGGGUGCCCUUUUCCCACCUCCACAGUCAAUGGGCUAGACAACGUGAGUCCAAUGGGAAGGGAGACGGCCACGGAACAGUUCCAAGGAUGUGUUUCUCUCAACUGAGCCCCAGUUUCUUCAGUUGUAAAAUGGGGAUCUUACAUAAUAGCACCUACCUCUUAGGAUUGUUGGGAGGAUAAAAGGAGAGGUUUGUAGAGCACUAAGCACAGUUCCUGACACACGGGUAGAUUCUUAAUAAAUACUUGUUCCUAUUCCUUCCCUCCUUCCCAUUACGCAUCUUCCUCUGCCAGGCCCUGGUCCAGGCACUGGGGAAAUAAAGACAAAAGGAAGUGGACCCGGGCCUCAAGGAGCUAAUGGUUUAGUACAAGAGUUUUUAACCUUUGUUUCUGGGUCAUGGCCCUCUUUGGCAUUCUAGUGAAACCUAAGUACCCUUUCUCAGAACAAUGUUUGAAAUCAUUGAAGGAAAUGCUAAGCCUAUGUUAGCUUCUUUCCCAUCCAAGUUCCCAGACCCCCUGAAAGUUACCCAUAGACCCCUGGGAGGUCCAGGGAGACACAUGUUAAGAACUCCGAUUUAGGGAGAAACUAUUCAUAAAUAAGUACAAAAGAUAAAAAAGAUAAAAGGAGAUUAAGGGGGAGGAGAAGAUACUAAUCACGAGACAAUGAGGGAAACUCCUGUAAAAGGUGAAAUUUUAGCUGAGCUUCAAAGGAAGCCUGGUGUUUUUAAAGAUGGAAGUAACAGGAAAACACACACUAAAGUCACUUGCGGAAAUUGGUGCAAAGAUGUGAAGGGAGGAAGAGUAUUUGGACAAAGAAGAACAAAAAGAGCAGUUUGGCUGAACCCCAGCUACAUGCCAGGGGAAGUAACGCAUAAUGUAGAAGAAUAUUAAAAACUUCCUUUUUUAGUACAACUGAAAAUGGUAAGAAAUAAUAUUUUCCUCUAAAAGGGCAGCCUAGACUCAGGAGCUUUUUCAGUUGUUUUUCAGUUAGAGCUGACUUUUUGGAACCCUGUUUGGUUUUAGGAGUUUUUUGCCAAAGAUACUGGAGUGGUUUGCCAUUUCCUUCUCCAGCUCAUUUGACAGAUGAGGAAACCGAGGCAACCAGGGUUAAGUGAUUUGUCAGGGUCACACUAAAAAAGUGCUGAGGCCAGAUUUGAACUCAGGAAGAUGAGUCUUCUUGACUCCAGGCCUGGGACUUUAUCCAUUGAGCCACCCAAGUUCAAAUGCAUCCUCAAACACUUAACCAGCUAUGUGACCCUGGGGAAGUCACUUAACCUCUAUCUGCCUCAGUUUCUUCAUCUGUGAAAUGGCAAUAAUAAUAGCACCUACCUCCUAGGGUUAUAUUGUGAGGACAAAAUGAAAUAUUUGUAAAAUGCUUCAAAAACCUUAAAGUGCUACAUAAAUGCCAGUUCUUCUGCUUAUUAUUAUAAUUAUUUCCAGACUCCUGGGAAAAGCUCUGUGAUAAGGUGAGUGAUAGGUAGAGAACAAAAGAGUUUUUCUUAUCAGAGUAAGGGCGCUAGUAAACAAAGAAUAACUCUUCUUUCUGUCAUUGCUGCUGUGCCCUUGAAACAAUUGAUACAAGGAUUCAGCCAAGUGAAGUACCUUCUGUCCCAUUGAAAGGGAGGUAUCCUUGCCACCUCCUAAUCUGAAAAGGUUCUCAGAAUUAACUCUUAUUAUCUCCUAUUUCCUAUUUCCUCAAGGGAAAUGGUCCAGGAGGAAAUGGGAAGGUGACUUGCAACAAUUCUAGAAUGUAAACCCAAACUGUAUUUUUACUUAUUGUGAUAUUUUCCUUGUUCAAGAUUUCUGUAAAUGGUAUCUGAAAUCAUCUUGGGGCAGAGAGUAAUGUUGGAAAGCAUGGGGGACUAUGGCAAUUUGGACAUCUCUCUCUCCAAGCUAGAAAUUUUAGAUAUUAGAUGAUUAUUAAAUUAAAGAAAAGGAUUUUGUGCAAACUUGAGCCUAAAAUUGCAGCUACUCUAGUAUUGUUUUUCUUUGAUGUUUAAAGUUUGCACUAGAUAAUGACUACAGUUCCUAAUCCUCACAGAAAGCCAGCAUGGGUCCAGGGCCACUUCUCUUUGAAAGACUUCUAUGGCCAGCUAAAAAGAAGUGUGUGGGGGGGAACCCUUUUCAACACGAAUAGGAAACUUUCCUGUGGGGAGCCAUCCCCAGCUUUGCCCCCAGCCCAUGCUUCGCCUCGUAGAGUAUGGCCAUUUGGGGGAAAGGCCAAGUCGGUCACAUAAAGUCAAAACGUUCUGAGGAUCAUGAACACGUCUAUUCACAUCCAUGCUGAUGGAAGCCUCCUGGGUUGUGUCUAGGAAGCCUUAUGUUAUGCCAGGAUAAACCCUUUAUUUAGCAACUUUAAAUCGUCUGUCUACAUUGGAGCUAAACCAAUGGUAGCCACAACUGACUGUCCCAUCAGGAAAAGGACUUUGUCUCUGAUAUCGAGGGAGAUUGUGCCUAAUCCCAUGAUCCUAAGUGCCAGGUAAGCUAUCCUUACCUUCUUCUUAGUGCUAGGCAGCAGCUCUCCUGGGACUUUCCAUGGGCUUCGUUGUUCAGAGGUUUUCUGGGAAUUCCACACAUUCCACAUAGACGCAUUUGUCAAAAGGACUCCAAGCUGGCAAAAAAAAAAAGAAGAAAGAAAAAAGAAAAAAAGAAAAAGAAAAAAGAAAAGAAAAAUGGUAAGCUUGAUAUUUUUCACUCUUAUGGCUUCGUUUGGUGUCUAUUCCUCAGUUUUGUAUUUAAGAUAUAAUGGUCUAAAGAAUGACUGAUCCUAAAAUUAGGAGAGCCUCCAUAGCAAAGUGUAGGGGACCACAAGAGCAUCCCCUGCCCCCUCCUAGCUCUACCAGUGCUUUACCAGAGGUACUUCUGGUUAUUUUGGAGUGCUUGACAGAAACUGGUCAUUGAACCCUCCUGAGAGUGGAUGUCCCUCAGAAUCAGGAUUGUUGACCCCUCAGCAAAGGGAAACAAAAUUAGAGAUGUCUGCACACGCAGAGAAAAAGAAAAGAAAAGAAAAAGAAUAGAUUUCCUGUUAUUAGGGAGCUGGUUUCAGGCUCCUGUUGUCAGUGAACUUUGAGAACAGGUAUUCCAUUAUGCAACUAGCAGUAGUACCGAGUGUCCGAGCUUGGAAAAGUUGAGGAAACCUCAGUUUGGGGAACAGAUCAUAUAAAAAUGGGACUGUCCCUGGAAAAGCUAGUAAUUAUGGCACACUUUAGAGAAAUGAAACGUGAAUUCUUGGUCAAUGUCAUUUGGCUAAAAUUGUUUUAAAGGAUCUGAUGGAAGAGUAUACUCUUGUGGAUUUUUGGCUAUGCCAAUGAAUGUUUUUAGCAAUGGAAAUAUUUCUCAUCUUUUCUGUAAGUCUAUGUUGUUCAGUAAAAAGAUGAUCAGUCCUUAAACAGAACUGAAGCCAGUUUAAAAGUUUUCUUUCCAGUAACUUCAAAAAAGACAGAACUAAAAAAAAAGAAAGAAAAGAAAAGAAAAGGUGUGGCUGUGUUUUGUUUUGUUUUGUUUUAAUUUCAAAGCUAAGCCCAUAACUCAGAUACCUAGUAGGUAUUUGUUCUUUUAAAUUUUCUCUUAUUUAAAUUAUCUUGAGGUAAAAAGCAAUUAAAGGGAGCAGCUGGGUGGCUCAAAGGAGAGAGAGCCAAACCUGGAGAUAGGAGGCCCUAGGUUCAACUUUGACUUCAGACACUUUCUGUGUGACCCUGAGCCAAGUCACUUAUCCCCCAUUGCCUAACCCUUAUGGCUCUCCUGCCUUAGAAUCAAUAUAUAGUAUUGAUUCUAAGAUGGAAGUUAAAGGAUAAAAAAACAAAAGGCAAGUAAUUUGGAAAAACAAGGACAAAAUUGGCAUUUUAAAAGUUUGGCUUGCCUGGCUACUGUGAGCUUUUGGAUGAUAAUGGCAGAAAAUACUUGUCUGUGUAAAUUAGAAGCAGUUACCUAAAGAGAAUUACAAUAUAGCAUUUAUUUACAAGUUGUUAAGUAACAUACCAAAUUGAAAGUUUUUUGCAGGGUCAAAUGAGAAAUUGCCAGUAAACCUGGACAUUUCGACUCAUCACCUAAAUGCAAAACUUUGAAACAGAUUUAUGAUAUAUAAAAAAAUUCUACUAAUUUGCAAAAGAAAACCUCAAUAGAAUAAAAAACUAGUUUUGAAAGUAAUUUGAAACAUAAUUCAAACACAUAAAAGAAAGAGAUUAAGAAAUAAACACUCUUAGAAAGUAAACUAAUGAAUAUAUAAAGAGAAAUGCAGUUCUGUGAUUUGGAAGACUCAGUAUGGGUUAACCAGUAGGAAAAAGAGUUAGAAAUGAUUAAUGUUGACAAUGAAAACUUGAAGCUCAACUAAAAGAAAAUGAGAAAUGUAUAAAAAUACUAUUUAAAGUAACAAAUGACAUAUGAAAAUACAACUCUGCUUAUAGAAGUAUGAAACGUCUCAAACUCAGAUGAGUGAGUGGCUUCAAUUUCUGGUUCCCCCAAAGCUCUCAAUCUCCAGCCAGUCAGCGCCAGUUUGUCUGGGAGUGUCCAGGUUAUACAGGGGGACUGUCAAGAGAGCUGUCUGCACACUGAGGAUGGGAAAAGCAUAUUGUGUGAAAUCUUCCAGCAUGGUGCCUGAAGGAGAGCCCUGCCUGUAGCAGUACACCAGAGUAAGAAGAGGUCCCCCAUCAGUCAAGGAGAAGCCUGAUUUUGUGCAGGGAAUAGCACCAGGUGCCAGCUGUAGCUGCCAAAGCAAUCAUAAAGGAAAUUCUAAAAGACUAUUGUAACCAUAUUACCAGCAAAUGACUGCUAAAAGCCAAUUUCUUCAAUGAGUUUUUGAAAUGAACUUUUUGCUCCAUAGAAACUUGAGGCAAAUGGACAAGGUAAUUGUGCUAGUAACCUCUCCUCUAGAAGAGACGUGCCACUCCAGAACAAAGAGACUAUAUCUUGGGAUAGUGUGUCCACCAACUUCUGGAUGAAAGACUAUGUAUGAAUGUCUGAUGGAUGCCUUUUUGGAAGUAACUAUGAAAAGAUCACCUGGAAAUGAGAAAUAUGAGGAACCAGCUGGACUUAUCUUAACUUGCCACUUGCUACCUCAGUGGACAGAAAUAUUUUCUUUAAAAAGAUGUGUGCUUGUAUACAAAAAUGUCUGUAAUGGCUUGUUUACAAAUUGUUACUAUUGAUGACCAUAUUCUUUACAAUGUCAUUAUGGUUCUGAUAUUGACAAGUUGAGAGAUACGGAAUCAUAUAGCUAUUUUGUUACAGGAUUUAAAAUUGGGAAAGAGGAUAAAUGGGUAUCAAAAAUUCUAUAUUGGAGAUAAGAAGAUGGACCACCUGUUAUCUCUCAACUGUUAUCUGAUAGUACUUGACUAGAUGACUAGAUUUGAUGAGACUAGCACCAGAAUGCCUUUACUAUUUAAAAGAAGUAAGGGAGAUUUAAUUGGAUGCUUUUGUGAUAGAACUAAACACUGUUGCUUCAGUCUGGAAUGUAUGCAAAGGUUUAGAAACCCCUAAUUGAUACAAUUAGAAGAGUCACUGUCCUUAUUACAAUAGCUUAAUGAACCAACACAAGGUGGGUUUGAGAAAGUUCCACAUUUCAUGAAUGAGGCUGGCUGAGGCAUUCCAGUGGAACAGAACAAUGCGUGAAGAUCAAGAAUUUCUUGAGUUACCAACUGUGAGCUAUACAUGAUGACCUCACUCGUCAGUAUUAGCCUGACAGUUCAAAGUAUCAAUAUCUUCUGACCUAUGUCCAUGGACUUAUGCCUAGAGGUUCUCAGCUUGGAAGAGCAGCCACUCACAAUGCACCUUCCACACCUAUGGCCUGAUGAUAGGUGUCUGGGUCUUGGCUCGGGUCCAUUGGGCACAGUGCAUGUGAGACUGAGCAGUCAGUCCAUAGAGAUGUGUGUGAACUCAAAUUCCCAGGGACCCUAGUUGGUUCACAAAAAGUAUUCUUGUAAUAAUGUCAGAUAUUUAGCUUGGAAUAAGAUAUAAAUGGACUUUCUAGCCUUUACAACCAUCCAGAUGCAAUGUGUGCACAACUUUGAGAUAAGGAUGCAGAUUUGUUGUGUUAAAUACAACAGUUUGUGUUGUGUGGAACAGAUAAUGGCAAGUUACACUCUCUAGAUGAAAGUUGUAGCUCUACACAUUUUUGAGGUUGUAGAACUGGAAGCUUUUGAAACUCGGGGAAUUGUUCUAAACAAAAUUCUUUAUCCCCCAAAUGUAUGAAAGGAAGCACAAAAUUUGGUGUGCUCUUUUUAUAUGAUUUAAAAUGAAUAUAAUUUUUGUAUGUCAAUACAUUUACUUUUGUGAUGGAGUAAAAUUUAAUAUAGUGGCUUAAUUUAUAUUCACUUUUAUUUAAAGGUGAAAAAUAGAGCUAAAUGGUAUAAAAUGUCAUUAAAACAAUCUAAUAUUGAUUAGAGAAAUGCAAAUUAAAACAACUCUGAGGUAGCACUUUACACCUAUCAGAUUGGCCAAAAUUGUAGGGGAUGUGGCAAAAUUGGGACACCAAUGCAUUGUUGGUGGAGUUGUGAACUGAUCCAACCAUUCUGGGGGGCAAUUUGGAACUAUGAACAAAGGACUAUAAAGCUGUGCAUACCCUUUGAUUCUAUAAUACCACUACUGGGUCUGCAUACCAAAGAGAUCAUAUAAAAGGAGAAAGGACCUACGUACACAAAAAUAUUUAUAGCAUUCUUUUUUGUGGGGGCAAACAUUUGGAAACAGAAAUGUCCAUCAACUAGGGGGAAUUUCUAGACAAAUUGGGGUAUAUGGUGUGCUAUAAGAAAUAAGCAAAAUUUCAGAAAAAGCUGGAAAGAACUGUUGAACUGAUGCAGAGCAAAAUAAGCAGAACCCAGAGAACAUUGUACACAGUUAACAACAAUAUUGUAUGAUGAUCAACUGUGAUAAGACUUAGUUACUCUCAGCAAUACAAUGACCAAUUUGGAAAUAUGUUUUGCUUGGUGAUAAAUGUAUAACCUAGAUCAAAAUUGCUUACCAACUCUGAGAGUAGGGUGAGAAGAAAGGGAGGGAAACAAUAUGGGUCUUAUAAUUGCAAAAAAAAAAAUGUAUGUUGAAAAUAGUCAAAUGUAAUUGGGAAAAUAUAUCUUUGAAUAAAAAAAUUUUUAAAUCUGA